rnacentral:lncRNA from 1 species
CGGCGGGUCGUCGCGCAUGAUAUUGUCUGACGCGAGCGAUUCGAUGGCAAAGUCGUCGGCGCCCGUCAACGUGACGACGGCGUGGGCCAUGUUGACGAUGCCUACGUCAAAGGCGACCACGCGGCGCGUCGCCGCCGGAUCGGUCGGAAACAGCCUCGUCGGUCUUUUCCUCGUAGUAGUAGUAGUAGUGGCGGCGGCGGCGGGCGCCUCGCCGUCGGCAUCUGCCUUGGUCGCCGCCUUGCCCUUUUGCCUGGGCGAUGACUUGGGCGUCUUUUUCGCGGCCGACGAUGGUGCGGCGCGCUUACGCAUCUUUGCUCUUCUUCUCGCGCGUGUGCUUCUCUUGUUUGUGCCUCGUCGGGGGAGGGGUGGUCCCUAUAUCUGUCUGUGGCAGAGGCCGGCGGGCAAGAUCACGUGUGGACGCGGUGCGCUGGCCGGCCCGCGAGACGGGUGUCGCGACAGCGUUUUCGCCCUCGGGCGUUGCCGUGAUCCUGCUCUUCUCGGGGCCGCCAUGAAAGCAACCAUAGCAGCGACGACGGCACUGCCCCUUUGCCACGUCGCCUCUAGAUAGUUGUGUCCCCAAGACGAAAAGCAUUAUUAAAAAUUCGAAAGAAAAAGGAAAUAACAGCGACG